UUAAAACCAUGAUCGACUGAUGCUAUAUCAUACAACAUUUUGUACAUGAAUCUCUUUGGCUUUUAAACUUUAAAGUUAUAUUAAAUUGCUUUAUAUGCAAGCACUUAUUUCAAUUCCAUUGAUCUUUGUGACUCUCCUUUUCUCUCUAGCUAGCUCCACCCCAUCUUCAUAAGAUAAGUUCAAAAAAAAUAAUUGUAACACUCAUCACUAAAUUGUAGUUUUUGUGUAGAAAUUGAUNNNNN
rnacentral:lncRNA from 1 species